rnacentral:rRNA from 1 species
UACGUAGGGUCCGAGCGUUGUCCGGAAUUAUUGGGCGUAAAGAGCUCGUAGGCGGUUUGUCGCGUCUGCUGUGAAAUCCCGAGGCUCAACCUCGGGUCUGCAGUGGGUACGGGCAGACUGGAGUGCGGUAGGGGAGAAUGGAAUUCCUGGUGUAGCGGUGGAAUGCGCAGAUAUCAGGAGGAACACCGGUGGCGAAGGCGGUUCUCUGGGCAUUACCUGACGCUGAGGAGCGAAAGUGUGGGGAGCGAACAGG